UGGGACAAACAUUGUUCGAACGCUGGCUAGAAUUAUUAUUGCUUGUUUAUGUUAGGUCGCUAAUAAAUAUGAAAUAUUAAAAAGUAAGAUAUUGACAUUGACAAAUGGAGAGAAAAUUGGUUUGAGGCUUGACUAAAUUUUAUCUACAAUUCCUAUCAAGCAAUUAGUAUUAUUUUCCUCGAUACACCACGGCGGAGUCGAGUAUUUAUUUUAUCUACGUGUGUCAAAAAUGUCGGAAAAAUGUCGGAAAAGUUGCGGAAUUCGACGUGAAGAGGGGAUCGUGGUCAUUAUGCAUAGAACGCCUGGAAAUUAAUGAAUUUUAAGGUGAGGGUAAUAUCAACGACGGACUAAAAUUACCUUCUUUAAUAGCGGUCAUGGGAGACGAGGCGUAUGAACCAUUAAAAAAAUUAUCAAGCGCCAAAACACUAGCUGAGAUGGAAUAUUCGGUGACGGUAUCGAUAGUGAAAAAUCAUCUACAACCGAGAGCGUUGCCGGUUUAGGCAAAGACGUAAGUCAGGCUAUCGGCGAGAACGUUGCGAGUUAUAUAGAUGAACUGAAGGGGUUGGCGCGUCACACGAUAGCAAAAAUACCAUUAUUUCAGAAGAAUAUAUAAAUAAUGAACUAAGACGGUCGAUAGAAGUAAACGAAGAGGCAUUAAAAUUCUGCGAUUAAUCAAGUUUUAGACACAACUUUAUCCAUUAGAAAAUCGACAUAAAACCAACAACUCUCCAAAGUCAUUUUACAAGAAUAUAUAAAAAGGCUGGGAAAACGGGGAAAAUCAAAGACAUAAAAUUGUUGAAAUACUCUUCUCUCUGAAUAUAUUAUGUAGAUCGAUAGAAAAAGAAAACCAAAGGAGUUGAAGAGAAAAUAAAAAGAGAGAUAUAAAUAAUACUAUUAGCACACAAAUUUAGUAGAAUAAGUUAGUAAGGUAAUGAUAAUAAACAUCGUUAAAACUGAAACUCUGUAAAGUGUAUAAAUAAAUAAAUAACUAAAUAAAAUGUAUUAGAAUUAAGAAAAUAAGAUGUAAAUAAAAAGAAAAGGCCUCUCACAAUAAUUCAUAAAUCAUGUAAUAAAUAAAUAGAACAAAAAGGAAACCCCGCUUUGUUUUACUAUCCCAUAACUUAGGUAAAAUGAAAAAUAUUAAAAUAAAUAUAAUAGCUUAGAUAAAAAAUAAAAA